rnacentral:tRNA from 1 species
GGCGGUGUCGCCGGUGUUGACCACGGCAACCUCCUGAUCAGGGGUCGUCGGCCAUCGGCCGGGGCGGUGGGGGGUGUGCGGAACACCGUGCCGACACC